UACGAAGGGGGCUAGCGUUGCUCGGAAUCACUGGGCGUAAAGCGCACGUAGGCGGCUGUGUCAGUCAGGGGUGAAAUCCCGGAGCUCAACUUCGGAACUGCAUUUGAUACAGCACGUCUUGAGUCCGAUAGAGGUGGGUGGAAUUCCUAGUGUAGAGGUGAAAUUCGUAGAUAUUCGGAAGAACACCAGUGGCGAAGGCGACUCACUGGACAUGUAUUGACGCUGAGGUGCGAAAGCGUGGGGAGCAAACAGG
rnacentral:rRNA from 1 species